UACGUAGGGUGCAAGCGUUAUCCGGAAUUAUUGGGCGUAAAGAGCUCGUAGGCGGUGUGUCGCGUCGGCCGUGAAAACCUGCAGCUUAACUGUGGGCUUGCGGUCGAUACGGGCAUCACUGGAGUUCGGCAGGAGAGACUGGAAUUCCUGGUGUAGCGGUGAAAUGCGCAGAUAUCAGGAGGAACACCGGUGGCGAAGGCGGGUCUCUGGGCCGAUACUGACGCUGAGGAGCGAAAGCGUGGGGAGCGAACAGG
rnacentral:rRNA from 1 species